GCGUGAUUGGAGAGUCACAAAUGGAAAGAAAUACUAUAAUCAGUGGAGAGAAGAUGUGCACAGCUAUACAAGUGUAUGGUUCUGUGACAUACCACGAGGUGGGGGUGGACCUUUAUGACAUCUUCUCCCAGCAACCCCACAUAUUUCCCUUGCCCUCAGUGGGUCAGGAGUCUCCUGCUUGGCCUCAUCUUCGAAUCUGAAGCCUCUGAGUUCUGAAUAGUUCAGCCCCCUACUUUUUUAGAUGCCUCUGUGGCAAACCUUUGUUAUCUGACUUUUCUUUUAUUUGACAGAGCCUCGCUCUGUCGCCCAGGUUGGAGUGCAGUGGUGUGAUCUCGGCUGACUGCAAGUCCCGCCUCCUGGGUUCACGCCAUUCUCCUGCCUCAGCCUCCUGAGUAGCUGGGGACUACAGGCGCCUGCUACCACGCCCAGCUAAUUUUUUGUACUUUUAGUAGAGACGGGGUUUCACCGUGUUAGCCAGGAUUGUCUGGAUCUCCUGACCUCGUAAUCCACCCACCUGGCCUCCCAAAGUGCUAGGAUUACAGGUGUGAGCCACGGCGCCCUGAGGACUGGCAGACCCAUCUGACUUUCUUGGAGUAGAGGAGGAAGAGGAGGAAGAAGAGGUGCAGGAGGAAGACCAGUGUUGAUUGAGCCAGCGGGAAGCAGAAUCUCUGGAGGGCCAUGCAGAGCCUUGGGGACUGACCAAGUUCCCCCACUGAGGGGUCCCAGGUGAGCCACUGUUCCCUGCCCACCCCAUCUGUUGUCCUCCCCAGGCUGUCAGCUCCACCCGGGUCUGGCUUGGUUCAGGUGCCUUCCAGAAGUGGCAGGUCUCAGGGGCUCACCCUGCCCCCCUCCCCCAGGCUCCUCCCUCUCUCCAUCCUGUGAGUCCUGAGGGGCCGGCUUCAGGCUGGGCUCCCAUUACCAGGCCCAGGUCCCUUCCCUGCACCACUCCCGGGGCCUUCAGUUGCAUGCUCUGUUGUCCCCCUGGCCUCAGUGAGAAGCCCAGGCCAGGGCCCUGCCCUUCUUCCACAACCUACCAGGGCCAGGGCCAAGGCCCUCACUGUCCCUAUGCCCCUUCCUCAUGGCUGAGCCCCCUGAGCCCUCAGAGAUCUGCUAUACAACUGCCCAGAGGCCAGGCCAGGUGCCCUCUUGCCCUGUGGCCACAACCCUCAGAUCUCACCAAGGCAGGCCCCAAGGGAACAGGGCCAGAUCCUCAGGCUGCCCCUCCUCUCCAGCUUACUUGGAGACCACAGUGCUGAGAGCCCACGGGCCUGCUCUAGUCCCCUCUCUGUCCCUACCCCCUCUCCUGAGCUCCCUAAAUGUGUCAUGAGGCUGUGCCCUAACCCUGACCACAGGCUGGACCGACAGGAGAGCCUGGGAGGAGUUCUGACCCUGGAGAGGAGGUUGGCCCAGCCAGGGAGACAUGUCCUGCUUCAGAGAGGCCUUUCUAAAAACAAAACCCAUCCCUGAGGUGAGAUUGGUGGCUGGGGUCGGGGGGACAGAGGACUUACUGCACAAUCCCGAGGUUAUUGGUGUAUUUUCUGACAUCAACCUGCUCAUGCCCCAAGUCCACUGCUGCCCCAGCUCGGUGUCCCUGAAACCCAGAGGAGGCCAGGAUAGUGGGGGUAAGGUGAGAGGUGUGGGAGGCCCAGGGAGGUGGGCAGCCCCUCCCCACCCUGUGAUCUUAGGAAGCCCAGGACCCUGUGACCAGGGCACAGCGGGAGAGGCGAGGCCCUGCUUCCCUUGAGGGAGCGGCCCAACUUGUACCUGCUCAUACUUAGUAAUGAUGAUAUUGCCUUGCCCCUGGGCAGGCAGGUUAUACGGGUCCCCAUCCAUCUCCAUCCUGCAAGACAAAGUCAUCCCAAGGCUCUCCCGCACCCAAGAGCUCCAGAGAACAGCCAAACCACACGCACUGCACUCCCAGACACACUCCAGUCUGGUGAGCCCCAUUCCACUACCCCUCCCAGAUGACAGGGGCCAGACUCAGUGGUCCCACCCCUGACUAGAUCUCUGAAGUCCUUGCCUCCAACCAGUGGUGGGCUCCUUCCUGAGGAUUUGAGCACACGGGAACCUGGACAGAGAGGCCUAUUGUCCCUGAACACCCCAAGGCAGACACACACCUGCCCUGGCAGGACAAACGGCGUCCACUUGCUGAGGGUGAAGUCCCCACGAUGGGCUGUUCUGGGC
rnacentral:lncRNA from 1 species